CGGGGCUAAUACCGGAUAACACAUGAAACCGCAUGGUUUCAUGAUGAAAGACGGUUUUGCUGUCACUUAUAGAUGGACCCGCGGCGUAUUAGCUAGUUGGUAAGGUAACGGCUUACCAAGGCAACGAUACGUAGCCGACCUGAGAGGGUGAUCGGCCACACUGGAACUGAGACACGGUCAAG
rnacentral:rRNA from 1 species